rnacentral:rRNA from 1 species
GACGAACGCUGGCGGCGUGCUUAACACAUGCAAGUCGAACGGAAAGGCCCUGCUUUUGUGGGGUGCUCGAGUGGCGAACGGGUGAGUAACACGUGAGUAACCUGCCCUUGACUUUGGGAUAACUUCAGGAAACUGGGGCUAAUACCGGAUAGGAGCUCCUGCUGCAUGGUGGGGGUUGGAAAGUUUCGGCGGUUGGGGAUGGACUCGCGGCUUAUCGGCUUGUUGGUGGGGUAGUGGCUUACCAAGGCUUUGACGGGUAGCCGGCCUGAGAGGGUGACCGGCCACAUUGGGACUGAGAUACGGCCCAGACUCCUACGGGAUGCAGCAGUGGGGAAUAUUGCACAAUGGGCGGAAGCCUGAUGCAGCAACGCCGCGUGCGGGAUGACGGCCUUCGGGUUGUAAACCGCUUUCGCCUGUGACGAAGCGUGAGUGACGGUAAUGGGUAAAGAAGCACCGGCUAACUACGUG